CAUGCCGUAAACGAUGAGUGCUAAGUGUUAGGGGGUUUCCGCCCCUUAGUGCUGCAGCUAACGCAUUAAGCACUCCGCCUGGGGAGUACGACCGCAAGGUUGAAACUCAAAGGAAUUGACGGGGGCCCGCACAAGCGGUGGAGCAUGUGGUUUAAUUCGAAGCAACGCGAAGAACCUUACCAGGUCUUGACAUCCAACUAACGAAGCAGAGAUGCAUCAGGUGCCCUUCGGGGAAAGUUGAGACAGGUGG
rnacentral:rRNA from 1 species